rnacentral:rRNA from 1 species
GUGGGGAAUAUUGGGCAAUGGAGGGAACUCUGACCCAGCAACGCCGCGUGAAUGAUGAAGGUCUUCGGAUUGUAAAGUUCUGUGACGGGGGACGAAGAAAGUGACGGUACCCCGAAAGCAAGCUACGGCUAACUACGUGCCAGCAGCCGCGGUAAUACGUAGGUAGCAAGCGUUGUCCGGAAUGACUGGGCGUAAAGGGUGCGUAGGUGGCUAGGCAAGUUGGUAGUGAAAUUCCGGGGCUUAACUCCGGCGCUACUACCAAGACUGUUUAGCUUGAGUACAGGAGAGGUAAGUGGAAUUCCUAGUGUAGCGGUGGAAUGCGUAGAUAUUAGGAGGAACACCGGUGGCGAAAGCGACUUACUGGCCUGCAACUGACACUGAGGCACGAAAGCGUGGGGAGCAAACAGGAUUAGAAACCCUAGUAGUCC